GCACAUGGAUUCUUUAUUUGCCUUUAAUCUUUAGAGAAGAAGAUACACUAUAUAUUCAUUAAAAUAAUCAAACUUUGGAUGCUUGAAAAGUAGAAAGAAUUAUAAAGUGAUAUAUGAGAUGAUAUUUAGUGAAGGAAUCAUUAAAAUAAAAAAUAAAAGAAAAGAGAGAACAGAGAAGAAUCAAUGGUGGCAUGGCCCGACUCGUAGGGCGUGAGAGAGUGAGUGAACUUAGUUUCUCGAGGGAGCGUCUCUCAUUUGUAUUUUACUUUAGAAAAAAAAUCGUGGGUUUGCUUUUUGUUGUUUAUGGUCACAAACCAAGAUUUAGUCACUAUUGCACUUUCAU